rnacentral:lncRNA from 1 species
UAACUUAUUUCAUUCACUUAUUUCUCAGACCAAAAAUCAGAUUGAACCCCUGCACCUCCAACCCAAAAAUCCCACACAAACCCUAGGUUAUUUCGGAUGUUACGAUGUGAUUCUAGUGCCAAAAACCCCGGACAACUUGCUAGUUUCUCUUUCUCCUUCAUGUAGCUGCGUUGGGGGACUGGUUUUUGAUGGAGAAGGACUAGGUUUCGUGGUUCUACUCAGUCCAAGGUAAGUUUAUGCUUUUCCUUCCAUUAUCUAUGCUUGUACGAGUUGUAACUCGACCAUAAAGACUAGACCUAGCGAGUUUCGAAUGAGUAGUAUGCUGUUUGUUGUUGCAUCAUUGGCUGGCUGUAAAUUUAUUUUUAAGCUGAAUUGAUGGCUGGUUUAUAGGAUAAGAGUCAUAAUUAUGUACUGUUGGUUGUGUUGCUCAAUUUGAAAAAAAAGACAAGUCGAAACAUGUUUUAGUAAAUAAAAAAAAAAUCAGUUUUGAGAUGUUGAAUUGUGGGACUGUUUUGUGGGCUGUUUCGUGUUGCUGUUGGGUUAUCAAUUUUGCUACUAUUUUUAUGGAGUUUUGGAGGAGAAAGAGUAUGGAGAAAUACCACAUAAUGGUAGGGUGGUUGGCUGGUCGUUCGUCAUUACAUUUUUUAGGUUGUUGGACACUACUUUAGUUGUUGUUUUAUGUAUGAAGUGAUUAGGGUGUGUAGGCUGUUUUUGUGGUAUAUUGUGAUAGAGAUAAGGUUGGAACAUGAUGCAUACAUGUUGUUAUUGUUGUGUUCUUGCUGUUGUUGAUAUAUGGUAUUGGAGGAGGGACUUGUUAUAUGGGAGAUGCUGCCAAAUUUACGUAAACAAGCUGCUAGUUUAAGUUACGGACUUAGCCUUUACUCAACGCUGAUUUUGAAUCUCCUUAUUCUGUGGUAGAUUGAGUUGAGUUGUUUGAAGAAUAGCAUCGAAGGUAUUAAGGACUCAACGGAGUUAAGGU